GGGUAGAUAUGCAAAUUGGCUGAAGCAGACUGCCUGUAAAACAGUUGUUUAUAACCGUUGGGGGUUCGAGUCCCUCUCUACCCA
rnacentral:tRNA from 1 species